AGAGGAGAGAGGUUGUUAGUUUCAGUCUUUUAUUAACCAGUUUCAUUGUAGUGGGUCUUUAUUAUUUGCAAAAAUAAAAACGAUCUGGGGCUCUAUCCAUUCUCACCUACAAUUUUGGAGUAGGUAAUGGCUGUCUACAACCUGGUCCAACAUAUGCCCCCAAACUAAAACAAACAAACUCAUUUGCCAUACAAAUUGUUUACGAUUCAUUAAAAAGCAAAAUUGCAUAUCCCGGUGCUGGCAGCUGAGGCCGAGCCUCCAUGGGCGGAGGGGGCAUUCACUGAGUUGCCUUUGUAUGCUGGCAGGACCAAGCCGGAGGUUCUCACUAUGCAGCCCGGAGUCUGUGCAGCCAGAUGACGCAUGAGGCAGAUACUUCCUUGUACAGCCGUUCCUGGAGACUGAGCAGUUUGAAGUUUCCAAAGAUGAAAACAUUAUACAUGGAGAAGAGUAACCAAUGUGGUGGAUGUACUUGAAGCUGCUGAGGGACCUGUGGCCACUCGUCCUGGAAGAGAGAAAACGUGUGCACCAAAGAGCACUGUGAUCAUCCAGGUCUAGAUUUCCUGGACAUAGGGUGUUUGUUGAAGCAAAGGGAACUAUGAAACCAAGGAAAGACGGAAUAGAACAAUGGCUGUCCAGUCAUAAGGACAGUGAAAAGGAAGAUCGUAGCAGCUCACGUGGCUCCAUGUCAAAGAGCCCCAAAAGGAGAGCGAUGGCAAGAGGGUGGAGGUGUCCAGGAGACUACCAAGCAUGGAGGGAGACAUCCACCUAGAGAGGACAGCUGGGGAAUGUUCUACUGCUGUGGCUGAAGGAGACAUGGCUGUCCCUUUCUGAGGUGUUCUUCAGAGGUGUAAGAGAAUAAUUAAACCUGGAAGAGGGAAGAGAUGAGUAUGUAUUCAGGGCUCCCUUUAGUGGUUGUGCAUACUGUGUCCUGGACAACCAUAGGCAGAGUGGGUCUUACAGUGACUGUAUGAAUCUUGCUCCCUGUUGUUAAGCAUUCCAUAUUCUACAUGGAGCUAUGCCAAUUCCCUGCAUGGAUUACACAGCCCAGGCUACCCAGCUUCAUCUCUGACCUCCUACUCUGAUCCAGCCAGACGUUCCGGGUGUUGCUGCAUCCUCACACUUCACCUGACCUAUAUGCCGCUGUUGCUUUGCAGAAAGUAGGAGAGCAGUCGCUGAGUCAGCCCUGCAGGGAGGAGCAUGUGUAAGGAACAUGGAUUAUUCAUGGGGCCUGUGCACUGUUCCAGGUACAGUCAUGAUUGCCAUGGACUGGGACCAUUUGUAAUGCAGAGGCAUAACAAGAAAAUCCAUUUUCUCAUUUUCAGAGCCAAUUUUGUCUCCAUGCUCCUGCCCAUGUUACAAAUUUAGGCUAAUAAAGUGAAACAGGAGGCAGAAAUGCAAAAUGGAAUUUCUGAUGACUGUUUGCAAAAGGAAUUUUUAGAUGCCAAUUUGUAAACUCCUUUAUUUGGAAAGAAACGAUUCAGAGAAUACAUCUUGAGGUCUUGUGGUAUAAAACAAUGGAAAAUGAAUUUUGAAGUCAGACAAAUUAGAGCUUGAGUUCUGUGACCUUGGGCAUUUCAGCUAGCUUCUCUGCACCAUAAUUUCUAUAUCUGUAAAAUAUGGGUAACAAUGCUAUGGGAGGCAGAAUAUUAGUCCUAAUUCUUCAACUAUUCCUGUAUCCUUGACCUUUACCUUAUGACUGCAGUUGCACCCACAAAAGGAAAAUCUAGUGGGAUAUAUAUUUUCCUGUUCUUUUGCUUUGAGUUUAGUUAUAAGAUUUACUUUGGCCAAUAGGAUAUGGAGGGGGACUUGCAGUGUGAUAAUCUUAAGAGUUAUCACAUGGCUCUCUUUCCUCUUUCACUUCUGCUAUUCCCCAGAGAAGGACUUUCUGAAGAUUUUUCAGCCUCUUCAUCUUUGGUUCCAGUGAAGCAACUUACACCCAGUCCACAGGAAAGAAUAAGGCCCAGUGGAAACUGCAGCUUGAAUCAGAGAUGUUAAGUUGUGCCCCAGUUGAUCCACAGAUAUGUUAGUUAGAAGGAAUAUUUUUACUUUAAGCCACUGAGUUUUAUGGUGACUUGUGCAGCAUGUGGGUAAAAUUGUAAUAUUUCCAGACUAUCUCGCCUGACUUUAGUAUAUCUGCAUAUCAACAGGCACUCAAGGGUGGACAGAAGUAUGGCUUUAGGGCAUUUGCAUCAUUCCUCAGGGGUGGAGAGAAGGUCACCUCCAUAUCAAUGGGUAAUUACCUGGGCAAAGAGGGCGUAUCUGUACCUGAGAGGUGAGGGAAAGGGCCAGUUUUGCUUCUGCAGGAGCAGGAAAGAGAGAGGGCCCUGGACUGCAGUUUUUAAGUAAUAAAUGGAUUUUAAACUUUAUUUCUACCUUUGACUGAUUCAGGUUUUUAGAUGUAUUUUGCCCCAGGAUUUCCUCUCCCCAGACUUACACAGCAAUAGCUAACUGAUCGAAACACUGUGCUAGGUUGCUUCUAAAAUGGCUGCCAAUGAUCCCUUCUUCAUGUUAGUCACCCCCUUGUGUA